rnacentral:lncRNA from 1 species
AAAUUCGAUCGAUUAGAUGAAGAUAAUUUAAUCAAAAAAUGCUGAAAUUAUCAUAUGAAUAAUUCAAUAAAAUCAUGAAAAAUAAAAUUUAAAGCAUCUGAUCUGAUCAAAGUAGGUGUCGGUAUACUGUCUGACGAUCACAGAUCAAAAUGCAUCAUUAGGAUCAUUUAAAUUCAUCAUCAUUUUUUUCAAAAUUUUAAAAAAUCUGAGGAGAGAGAAAUAAACUAGAGAGAGAAAAUUCUAGAG